AAAUGAACGCAGUUGGAAUGAGUCCAUUAAGGCAUAAAUGGAAAUGUUUGCAUCUCACUUUGAAUUUUAAUGCUAAAUUUUCAAUUGUAAUGAGCUAUGUGAAGUACGCUAUUACAUUAUUUAUUAAAUUUAUGUUAAGUGCAUAAUCUUGUGUAUUAUGUCAUCUUUUGGCAAAUAAACUGUUUUUUUUUCCUUUUUAAAGAGCAUCUUUUUAGGAUACAAUAGACGAAAAGCGGAGCAAAGGAUUAAGUAUUUUUUCUGUAAGUCGAGUUUAAAAAAUAAUACGAUGUGUAUUAGGUAGGUAUAUGUAUAAAAGUCACUCACGAUAUGUCGAAAACCGCUUGAGGUACAAAGUUGAAAUUUGGCAGGGAGGUAGUUCUUAGUAGACAUUCGCUAAGAACGGAUUUUGCAAGAGGGUCCAAUUAAGGAGGUCUAAGGGCGGACGAAGUGGCGGGCGUCCGCUAGUUUUUUAUAUUGCAGUGAUUAUUCUAGUAGGUCUAGUCAACGACAUUUUUAUACUAUAGACAUGUUACGAGUACAUGACUACAAAAUCACCGCAAAAAGUGGGCCGAAUUCAGCGACUCCACUGAGCGCACACAUGUACAAUUCUGUGUUUAAUUCUAUUAUAUAUUUAUGUUUAUACAGUUUCUAAAGUUCCUAAACACACAACUCGACAUAGUAUAAGUAUUUUAUUUGUAUAAGUUUAUAUAUUUUGUUUAAAUAACUUUCAAAUAUUAGAUAGAAGUAGGCGUUACUUUGCGGAAGUUCAUCAUGAAUAAUUAUUUAUUUUGCUAUCAUCCGCGAAAAGCCGACGAACCCAUGCGACAACGUCACCCAGGUCCGACAAAAUACUCUCUACGUACGUUUCACCCCGAAACCGGAGCAUCCUCAGACGUUCAAUUGCAAACGUUGCAAUUGCACGUUGUAGAGUCAACAUCUCCUUCAUUAUAUUUAAAUAACUUUCGUUGUUUACUAUUGUUAGAUUUUUAAUUAUUUAAAUAAUUAUAAAUACAUAAGACAACAUAUAAAAACUCCUUCUUCCAGAUAAAUGUUUUAAUCUGUACUGUUUAUUAAUGAUUAUGGUUUUAUUCUGAGGUUGGUAGGGUAUUGUGAUAUAUACUCUAUGAAAAAGAGGCUAACAUGCGAUGAAGUGGCGUGAAGUAAAUUUAAUUAAUCUUGUGUAAUUUUAUUCCAUUGCUUUUAUCAGAAGUGAGAGUACCUACGAACACGAUGUCAUUACCUACAUUAAAGUCGAUCUACAGAAAGAAAAUGUAACGGCAUUUAAAUGAAGUGUGAAUUUGGGAAACAGUGGUUUACAUUACGAGAAAUGCGAUAAAAAUCAUACGUGUGUACAACCAUUAAGUAUGUAUACCACUGACGGCUAUGGGACCACGCCGCACUGGUCCCGGUAAAAGUAUUUAUGCGAUGUCGGUUGUCGAUGCUUACAAUAUCUAACAAGAAUGAAGAAACGUAAACGUAACACACUUAUACCAUGUUGACGAUAUUUAUGAGCAAAACAGUCAAACAGUCCAACAGCACUCAUAAGAGGAUAUUAUUUGAAAAACUGCGAGAGAACAGAGAAGAACGUGUAAAUUAAUAACAAAAUACAAAGAUGCAUGUGUGGUGUUAGCUGCAGAGUUAUAUGAGAUGGAAUCCUGUUGGUUUGACGGAUGAGAAAUACCAAUGAUGUCUAAAUAUAUUAAACUAGGUGUCUGGUGAGUUUUAUUAUUUUGAUUAAACAGCCUCAUAAAUUAUUCAGUUGUGACUAAUAUGAAAUAAAAUUACAAAGAAUAAAUAAUCACUAGGUGAAACUAAGUAUGGUUGAUAGGUUGUCAGUUUGUCUGGCUUAUUGUCAAAACAUUUUUGUUAGAUGACUAUAUCUAGGAAACCAAAAUCAUUUAAGUGAAAAGUACACACACACACACACACACAUACACACUGCUCAAGAAAUUAACGUAUGAAGACAGACCACUCUAGGGUUGUUAGGAUGACUACUAGGAGGGACUACAUUACAUCCGUUGCUGACAUGGGACUAAAAUGAAUUAACUAAAAUAUUGUUUUUUUUUGUGCCUGUAACUUCAAACUAUACAUUUGUUAUAUGUGAGUUUUUAUGACUGAAUAACAUAAAAAUUAAAAAUAUAUGAAGUUUUAUGUAAUGGUUCAAGUAUUAUUUUAGGCCUUGAUGUAGGUACCUGAUAACAAGUUUUGAGACAGCUAUUACAAUAUUUUCAGAUAGGAUUUGCUUAGAUAUAUCAUUAUGUAGAUUACUGUAUGUACUUAAUAUAAAUUUUUUUUAAAUCUUUUAAGAAAUUGGAUUGAUAGAUUUCUUGAAAAAUAAAUUUGUAGUUAUGUUUGAAAACCUAUUUAACUAUUCAAGCGUUGACAACAUGCCUUCAGCCUAUUUAGUAUAGAACAGUUAUUAACAAUCUGCAGCAACACAGUAAAUGAUUCUUAUCCAUGAAUAUUAUUAUAUUCGGCUUAUCUACAAGAGUACUAAGAGAUAUUAUGAUAUUCAUCUUAAUGAAAUCUUAUAAUUAAUUAAAUUGGAGAUUUUUUUUAGGGUGAUAUUAAAAAGUUACUUGUGUGACAAUUGAGUAAUAAAUAAUUAAUUAUAAUAAUAUCAUUGAUCACAAAUUGUCUUAGAGCCCAGUCUGUAUGGACUUCAAGUAAAGAGACACAGAUUGCCAUAAAUAGGUUGUAAAAUAUUUGUCUAAGACAUAUUUUGACAGUUUUGUGGGUGGGUGACGUUGGGCUCUCUUUUCAUUAAUGGUCAUGUGCAGAUGUAUAGAUUCUACAUACAAGUAAAUUAACCAUACUAUUGCUGUUGUUUUAGAUUCAAUCAAUCAGUUUAUUAUUUGCAGAUACACUAGUGUAUUUAAUCCAUGUCUCAUUUGUUUAUUUCUAGCAUUUUAUUAGAUUGCAACAUUUUGUAUAAUUAUGAAAAUUAGUAAUUAUUAUGGGGUUGUGGUUAGAAUUAUAUAUUCGGAUGGUUACAAUGAUAUGUGCAUAAGGUUUUAACUAGGGUAUACUAGUACACUAAAGGUAAAAAAAAAAAAUUAGAAAAUUCCUUGGCCAACAUAUUAAGUGGUAUAGGUUUUGAAUAUAGAUUUGUAUUGGGUCCUUAGGUAGUCAGUACAUUUGUGCAUCUACAAAGUGCACGCCACCGAGUUGUUGGUACCUGCAUGCAACUGAUGGGUGGUCUGCAUCAAGUAUGAAUCAAUAUAGAGACUUAAAUCAUUACAUCAGUAAAAUAAUUAAUGGAUAUAGCCAAAAAAAAAAAAAAAAGAAAUUUAACAGAAUUAAAAAAAAAGAAUAUACUAAAAUUAAUGAAUAGGUAAAACCUCUGAUAGCAAACUAGAGGUAUAUAACAAAGGGGGUGGUCUGGUCUAAGACAGGUUUAUGCUACUAUUAUUACAAAAAAGGGGGUAGUCUGAAGAUAAUUAUACAAUACAUAGUCAAAUAUCAUCUUUUCUUAUCUAGUGAUAACUACUAGGAUUGGAUUACAUACUAAAAUUAUUACAAUCAUAAAUCGCAAUAUUUUCAAGAAGUCUUUAUUAUCAUUAAAAAAAAAAGCAUUUCUUUAAGAGAAAGAGUCUUUUGUCUGAAUUAAAGUAAAUUGAUAGAUUAACACAUGUUUAACAUUUUAUUUCAUUUUAUGUACCGGGUCUAAGGUUCAUUCAAUUAUAGACUGAUUUUCUCUUGGAUGCUAGGUAUGCUAGUUAUGUUAAAUUAAAUUAUUUGUCAAACAAGUAUGAUAUUUAUCUGAACGAUUAAGUGACUGAGCUAUGUGAUACUGUGUGAAAAUAUUUGAUUACAGAUCCGAGAUGCAUGGAUAUUGAUUGAUGAAUAUGGGAUAUAUGAGAUUCUCAUGAUAAUCAUUGGGUUGAACACAGCCCUAUUCGACAGUUGACCCAAAUCACAAAGAUGAGAGAAGUUACACUAUGUAUUGAUAACACACGAUUUAAAUUUAGUAUUUUUAUUUAUGAUAUGAUGAUAUUAUAAUUAUGUAUUAUAUUGAGAGUUAUUAGUUUUGAUAUCAUAUAUACAUAUAUUUUAAAUAUUUGCUCACAUCCAUGAUGUUAUUCAUUAAUUAUGACUUACUGAUGACGAUUUGUGUUUUGGUAAAAUUUUAAUAUAAGGAUAGAUGUAUUACACAGGCCGACACGAUUUUCGUUGUCCAAGAUAUAAUUUUUUUUUUUUCUACUGAUUUUGUAGUGCUGAUUACGAAAUCAGACCUAAUUUUAUCAUACCACAUCAGAUUUUUAGUAAAAUUAAUAUAUUCGCUAGUUUUGAUUUUUCAGUGAAAUUUUCGAGUUUUGGCACUCUUUCUUUGAAUUAAGCAACCUCUCAUGAGAAAUUACUUCAGUUAUAACAACGACACACCUAUUUGUAACGCGUUUCGUGGAAAUAAGCUGUUAUAGUGCCUUUGUUAAAAAAAAUAUAUAUAUAUUUUAGUUAAUGGUUUUUUUUGUUGUUGGAAAACGUCUGAUAAACAUAACGUCUUCUAUAAAGUGUCACAAUAGUCCAGAUAUAUUUUGUUACAUUUGUUGAAACUUUAUGAUUCUAAGCAAAAACUGAAAAAUUUGUGGAAAAUAUGUAUAAUAAAUAUGUAGCUUAUUUUGACUUCAAAAUACAAAUAAAAUCGUGGACUCUGCAGUUUGUACUAAUCGUGUUGAACAAUUAAGGCAGUGGACACUGGACAUACAGCAAAAGACAAUCUCUACCUUUUGGUACUACCUAUGAUAUAGUGAAAGCAAGACAAUCAUACAGAUAUUGUUAUUUUUGCUGUAUGUUAGAAGCUUUUAAAGUAAAAUUUGUUUUCCUUUUUGUAAAAAAAAAAAUUGAUGUGAUAGAGUAAUUGUGCAGGUAUUUUUGUGUUCAAAAUACUAUAAAUUACUGAUAAUUUUUACUGAAAUCAAAACAACGUUCAAAAAGUAUUCAUUUGUCGGCCGGUGUUAUCGAUAAUAUUUUAGAUUGUAUUAUAGUAUAGUAGUGUUAUGACGACUAAUAUACCGUUAUUUGUUUUGUGAAUGAUUAUGGAUAUAUUUGUUGUAUAAUAAUUUCUCUAUUGAUUAUUACACAGCAAAAUAAAAUAAAUAAAUAAAUAUAAAAAGAUUCCAACGAAUUGAUAAACUCCUUUUUUUUGAAGUCGUUUAAAAAUGUAUGUAUAUGUAUUUAUAUCUGAUUUUAUAUUUUGAUUAUCUUCUAUCACAUGUCAUCUGGAAGUCUAACACGAUCAUGAAGUCCUGUAACUAUAUUAGUUCUGAACUUGAUGGUGAGGGGUUCGGUGCAGAUGCAACACAUCAUCUGGAAGUCUAACACGAUCACAAAGUCCUGUAACUUUACUAGUUCUUGACUUGGUGGUGAGGGGUUCGGUGCAGAUGUCACACAUCAUCUGGAAGUCUAACACGAUCACAAAGUCCUGUAACUUUACUAGUUCUUGACUUGGUGGUGAGGGGUUCGGUGCAGAUGUCACACAUCAUCUGGAAGUCUAACACGAUCACAAAGUCCUGUAAUUUUACUAGUUCUGGACUUGGUGGUGAGGGGUUCGGUGCAGAUGUCACACAUCAUCUGGAAGUCUAACACGAUCACAAAGUCCUGUAACUUUACUAGUUCUGGACUGGGUGGUGAGGGGUUCGGUGCAGAUGCCAUGAAUCGAUGAUGACGAAUUUGACAAAUAUAAAUAAUGUUUUGAAAUGAUGAAAAUAGAUAAGUUGAUUGACAAAAGCUUCACAUGAACAUUAUGUUUAUUUAUAAUAUGUAUCACUCUUAUUCUUAUUUAACAUUUUUAUGAUAAAAGUUUAUAGAAGAAAUCAAGAAUUUCAUUAUAGUUUCAUUGGAUUCUUUUAAAUAACUUAUGGGAUGCUGUGUGAUAAUUAAUUAUAAAAUUUUAUUGUUAACAUUGUUCUAUUUAUAGUUGAUAUUAUAGUAAUGUCAUAAUUUCAUGAUAUUCUUGUGUUGUUUGGGGACAAACUCUUAGUAAGGAUGGCCGAAUAUUAGAAGAUAAAGACAUUACAUUUGUAAAUAUUACAUAUCGUCUAUGUACUUAAUGCUUUAAAUUAAUCUACUACUCUGUCUAAGUUAAUUACAAUAUUUAAUAAGUCUCUGUCUAGAGUAAAGCUCCCUCUUGUCAUCUGGAAGCUCAGACAAAUAUUAGAAGAUAAAGACAUUACAUUUGUAAAUAUUACAUAUCGUCUAUGUACUUAAUGCUUUAAAUUAAUCUACUACUCUGUCUAAGUUAAUUACAAUAUUUAAUAAGUCUCUGUCUAGAGUAAAGCUCCCUCUUGUCAUCUGGAAGCUCAGACAAAUAUUAGAAGAUAAAGACAUUACAUUUGUAAAUAUUACAUAUCGUCUAUGUACUUAAUGCUUUAAAUUAAUCUACUACUCUGUCUAAGUUAAUUACAAUAUUUAAUAAGUCUCUGUCUAGAGUAAAGCUCCCUCUUGUCAUCUGGAAGCUCAGACAAAUAUUAGAAGAUAAAGACAUUACAUUUGUAAAUAUUACAUAUCGUCUAUGUACUUAAUGCUUUAAAUUAAUCUACUACUCUGUCUAAGUUAAUUACAA